CAAAUCUUCUAUGUUGAGUUUGUUGUCCCUGGGCAGCCUAUCUGAACAACGCCCCACCCUCCAAGGCUUUCCUCUCCCGAUCCUUCUUGCCUUCAGACUGUUCCAGCAGGGCAGCUGACAGGGGCAGUAUUGGUUUUCACAGCUAUGACUGUGCAGUGAUGAGGCAUGCAUAUGUAUAGAAACUUGAUUUCUUGAUUAGAAAAAAAAAAAGAGAAAAAAAAAUAAUAAAACAGUUAACUCUGUUGUUUCUGUAACCGAUUCAGGAUGAAAAAAGUUCAAUAAAAGUGUCAUGUUUGUAGUGAACUUUUACCUGGAUAUGGUGUUUUAUUCCUGUAAAUUGUAAUUGUUUUGAAAAAGUGUAAAAGAAGAAAAGCCAGGUUAAUGUUGAACUUUGGGAGGAAAGUAAAAAUUGCAGUUUUUUUUUUUUAAAGAAACGUAAACUAUUAAAAGGUGAUUUAAAAAAGAAAGAAACAUCGUCUAUCUUUGUGGAUACAGUUUAUAAAGCUAAACCUGCUGUUUCAUAAAAGUAGUUACAUGUUUUUAAAAGGAGUAUGACGUUUUGUGUAAUAAGUUUGGCUUAUUACUUUAUGUUUUGAAUUAUUUUCAGCUCCUGGGUCCCAUGUAUACGCAGCAUCUUGAUGUCCAAAAAGCUUUAAAAUAAACCCAUCGUUCACUGUAGUGGCAGAAGAUCACACUAAAAAAGAUUAGAGCUCAUAAAUGGCCUCAUAAUACACAACCAUGAUUUUGGCAACUGAUGCAGAAUCAUUUUGCAUCGGACUGAACCCAAAUUUUCAUACAAUCUGAAAGAUGCUUGUUGUGUUAAUAAAAUAAUGAAGUGCUUCUGGAGUAUGAAUUAGAUUAUAAUAUUUUCCCACAUAACAAAUAGAUACGAUGGUUAUCUCUUCAUAAUUGUACCCAAUAAUUUUAACUUCCACUUCUCGCCUGGAAACCAGACCCACUUGAUCUUUAGCUAUGCAGAGUCGACCUUGUGCCGCUUCAACUCUAGCACCAUGGGAUCCAGUUUCAGUCUGGUCCACUGAUGCCAGUUUCUCUAGUGCUGGGUUCAGUAUCAGAUGUCCCCAGAAUAAAAUGGGUGGUUUUAUCAGCUUACCCAGUGGCAGCUGCUGCUGCAGGAAGACGAACGUAGAUCCUCUAAAGGCCACACUUUAACGAAAUCAGAGAAGGAAAGGAUGGAGAGAUCCUCCCAUCACGGGACCACAGAGCAUCCUCUCAGGGACAUUUCCUUUCCUGGUAAACAGGACAGAAAGUGCUGCCGCCAAGGCCAAGUCACUCCUCACUCCUCACUCCGGCCUUCAUUGUCUGCCUAAAUGGAAAAGCUACGACCUUUUUUAUUAUAUGUAUUGCUGCGAUAA